ACUUGAGAUGACGACCAUGUAAAAGUAUAAAGAAAGUGUAUAGAUUGUCGAAGGAUCAUAUGAACCAGUUAGGGUGUGAAUUACACCCUUUGAUGAAGACCACUAAAAGCCAUUGAAAAGGACUUUCAACUCUUAUAAAGUUUCAGUUAUUGUGCACCUUGUUAUUUUUGGCCAAUUGAAGUUACCAAAAAAAUCAUAAAAGAAAAUAUAAGAACAUAUUUGUCCCAGACAUCCCAGUGUAUAUCUGAGGUUGUGGAGGCUCUGAACAACCCAGCAACUAUAUAUAAAUAUUUAAGAUUCCCACAGAAUGCUCAAGAAUGGCAAAAGUUGAAGGAAAAGCAAAGAAAAAAGAAGGUGGUUUAAGCUAAAUAAAAGAAUGUUUACUUCAUAAAAAAUUACCAAUAUUAAUGAAAUGCUAAAUAUUGCAGUUUUUAUGAAAAAUUUAGAAUCCUUUGGGUUAUUGGGUGUAUUGAUGGGAAGUUGAUGGCCUUAAAAAGAUCUGCUACCAAUAAAAAAUGGUUUUACUGUCGCAAAGAAUAUCAUGCAAGAAAUGUACAAUUUGUAAAGCUAUUAAUAUUUUUCGAAAUUCUGAUAUGUAAUCCAUAAACGAAAUGUGUAUUAAGAACCUAUCUAUUCAGAUUGUAUUCAUUUCAGUUAAAUUGUAAUUGUGUAUAUUGCUAUAAGUUAUUGUGAAAUUUAGUAUUUAUCUUAAAUAAACUUUAUUCAGUUAUAAUCAAAACAAAAUAAAAUUUAGUCAAUGACAGCAAGUAAUGACCAUUAUAAUUAUUUAACAUCUUUUCGGGCCUUCUGUAUAUUGUCAACGUUCCAACCUUAUGACACCUUUUGCUAAUUUUUUUUUCAUUGCUUAGAUCGGUGGACGAGCUCCCAGCCCACCUGGUGUUAAAUGGUUACUGGAGCCCAUAGACAUCUACAACGUAAAUGUGUAUGGACUCCAAUAUCUACAAGGUCCUACCACCAGUAAUUAUACAAAUUAUACCACCCACCCACCUUGAGAUAUAAAUUCUAAGGUCUCAGUAUAGUUACAACAGCUGCCCCACCCUUCAAACUGAAACGCAUUACUGCUUCACGGCAGAAAUAGGCGAUAACGCUAUGCUAUGCUAGCUAAUACCUGCUAAUAAUAGCUAGCUAUUGCUAAUAUGGAGGAAGAUACUCCUGAAGCUUUGUAGCACCGCCUUCAUUCCACUGCCCGUAACUCAGUGGAAAGAACAAUAGGUAUAUUAAAGAGUAGAUUCAGGUGUUUGCUGAUCUACAGGGUGCCAAUUUACCACCCUGAUAAGGUAGCAAAAAUUGUUGUUGCGUGUUGUGUUUUGCACAACAUUUUCAAUUGUGCAGAGCUGCCAGUUCCCAUGAUUUCAGAUGAUGAGAUUACAUGUACAUUAUGGUGGUCAUGUUGAAUUACUUUGUUAAAUUCUACUAAUUAGCUAACUUAUAGUGUGAAGUAACUUCAAAUAUAAAUUAAUGAUUUAUAAAAA